rnacentral:other from 1 species
CCCUCCGAUGUUCGAGAGAUAUCUCACAUGUUUUGAGCCAACACUCUCUAUACGGGAGCCCGUGUACUCCGGUCACCGAUGAUACGCCCUACGCCAUGCGGGGGAAAUCAGAUUGUGACAGGGAGGGCACCCACCUGCAUAUGCAGGUUCAAAACGUGGGAUGAAUACGGCAUUGUAGGGCU